rnacentral:rRNA from 1 species
CCUACGGGAGGCAGCCGUAGGGAAUUUUCGGCAAUGGGGGGAACCCUGCCCGCGCAACGCCGCGUGAACGAAGACGUUAUUCGUAAUGUAAAGUUCUUUUUACCGGGAAGAAAGCGAAAUUUGCCGGUACCUGAAGAAUAAGCUCCGGCUAACUACGUGCCAGCAGCCGCGGUAAUACGUAGGGAGAGAGCGUUAUCCGGAAUUCUUGGUCGUAAAGGGUUCGUAGAUGGCAUAGUAAGUCUUUUGUAAAAAUGCUGGGCUCAACCCAGUAGGGCAAAAGAUACUGCAAAGCUAGAGUAUGACAGAGGCAAGUGGAACUACAUGUGUAGCGGGAAAAUGCGUAAAUAGAUGGAAGAACACCAGUGGCGAAGGCGGCUUGCUGGGUCGAUACUGACAUUGAGGCACGAAAGCGUGGGGAGCAAACAGGAUUAGAUACCCCAGUAGUC